rnacentral:rRNA from 1 species
UACGAGGGGGGCAAGCGUUGUUCGGAAUUAUUGGGCGUAAAGGGCGCGUAGGCGGUUUGACAAGUCUGAUGUGAAAUCUAUGGGCUCAACCCAUAGCCUGCAUUAGAAACUGUCGGGCUUGAGUAUGGGAGAGGUGAGUGGAAUUUCCGGUGUAGCGGUGAAAUGCGUAGAUAUCGGAAGGAACACCUGUGGCGAAAGCGGCUCACUGGACCAUAACUGACGCUGAGGCGCGAAAAGCUAGGGGAGCAAACAGG